rnacentral:rRNA from 1 species
AUUGAACGCUGGCGGCAUGCCUAACACAUGCAAGUCGAACGGCAGCACAGAUAUAGUUUACUAUAUUGGGUGGCGAGUGGCGGACGGGUGAGUAACGCGUGGGUAUAUGACCUAAUGACGGGGACAACUUGCGGAAACGCGAGCUAAUACCGGAUAAGCUCUGAGGAGGAAAGCUGGGGAUCUGGCGACAGACCUGGCGCUUUAGGAGUAACCUGCGUCCAAUUAGCUAGUUGGUAGGGUAAAGGCCUACCAAGGCGACGAUUGGUAGCUGGUCUGAGAGGACGGACAGCCACACUGGGACUGAGACACGGUCCAGACUCCUACGGGAGGCAGCAGUGGGGAAUUUUGGACAAUGGGCGCAAGCCUGAUCCAGCCAUGCCGCGUGAGUGAAGAAGGCCUCGG